rnacentral:misc_RNA from 1 species
AACAUCGCGCACCUGCGGGAACCUGCGGAAGGAUCAUUACCGAGUUUACAACUCCCAAACCCAAUGUGAACGUUACCAAACUGUUGCCUCGGCGGGAUCUCUGCCCCGGGUGCGUCGCAGCCCCGGACCAAGGCGCCCGCCGGAGGACCAACCAAAAACUCUUUUGUAUACCCCCUCGCGGGUUUUUUAUAUCUGAGCCAUCUCGGCGCCUCUCGUAGGCGUUUCGAAAAUGAAUCAAAA